GCUGCAUGGCUGUCGUCAGCUCGUGUCGGUGAGAGUGUUCGGGUUAAGUCCCGCAACGAGCCGCAACCCUUGCCUUUAGUUGCCAGCAGUUCGGCUGGGCACUCUAAAGGGACUGCCGGUGUUAAACCGGAGGAAGGUGGGGAUGACGUCAAGUCCUCAUGGCCUUUAUGACCAGGGCUACACACGUACUACAAUGGCCGAUACAAGGGCAGCGACACUGCGAGGUGAAGCCAAUCCCGUAAAAUCGGUCUCAGUCCGGAUUGGAGUCUGCAACUCGACUCCAUGAAGUUGGAAUCGCUAGUAAUCGUGGAUCAGCAUGCCACGGUGAAUACGUUCCCGGGCCUU
rnacentral:rRNA from 1 species